rnacentral:lncRNA from 1 species
UUGUGUUAAGCGUAAAAUACAAUACCAUUCCUUCAAGUAAAUGAAUAUAUUCUGGUUUUAAGCUUAAAAAGUGGAUAACUAGCUUCAAAGCUUCAGAAAACGAAACAUUUUACAGGUACUUUUGACAAUAAAAGCAUUAUAGAAGUAGAGGCUAUAACUUCAAAACAUAUACAAAAAUCUUCAAACAAUAUCUCCUUGUAAAAUAAUUACACAUAAUUAUUUAUUUGGUGACCAACAACCAAGGGUGUUCUGGUUUUUUUUAUAUACAGUGGCAACUGAAAAACACCUUCUUUUUAGAAGCUGUUGGUCCGACUUGAAAGAUAAUCUCGGAAAUGCUCUUGGGUGUUCCUCUCCCAAGCAUGUUAAAAUGAAUCUGCUAUAUUAAAAUUAUUAUCGCUUGAGGGCGUUGUCACUUUCUCUGUAUGGAUUAUAAUAGAACCUUUCAGCAACUGCUGGCCUAGUUUGAAAAUAAUUUAAUAGAAAUGUUCUUAAUAUACUCCCGUCCAAGAAUGUAUAUUUUGAAUAGAAAAUUCAUCAUUCUCUAUCAUAUUACAAAAGACAUAAAAUAUACAUUUCUAUAUGCUGUUUGUCUUUUAUUUUCUUGUGCGUAAAACAGCGCAUAUUCAAUUGGUGGAAUAAUACGUUCAUGUGUUAUGUGAAUGCAGGAGCGUAACACGUCAUUAAGAGAAGACUGAGCUUUAAUUUUGAAAUAACCUGUAGCUCUAUCCAUUUACUUUAAUCAUUGAUUUAUAUACAGGUAUCUUGUGUACAACCAAGCACUCAGAAACAA